UUUUUUGUUUUUUCCCAGGGAAACACCAUAGAAGAUCAAAUUCUACCUAGGCUUUGUCUCUUGGCAUUUUAAGGAAUGCAAGAUGCUGUUGUUUACUGGUACACACAAAAGUCAUAGCUUCCCCCAGUGUGGUGGUUUUGGUACAGGGAAAAUGUCAUAUCUCAAUUAGGAAAGGUUGAGGAAGAAUAGGGUCAAAGUUGAAGUCCGUCAUGGAGAUAUUAUCUCAUUUGAUAAGAAUAUCAUUCCAUAUUUUUAUAUAUGAUUAGUGUUACUGAUGAGGUAGAUAUUUACUAUUUAAAUUAAAAAAAAGGUUUGGAAGAGGUGGGUUAGGUUGAUUUCAAGACUCAAACUUGGAACACAUUGC